rnacentral:rRNA from 1 species
UACGAAGGGGGCUAGCGUUGCUCGGAAUCACUGGGCGUAAAGCGCACGUAGGCGGCUUUCUAAGUCAGGGGUGAAAUCCUGGAGCUCAACUCCAGAACUGCCUUUGAUACUGGAGAGCUUGAGUCCGGAAGAGGUGAGUGGAACUCCGAGUGUAGAGGUGAAAUUCGUAGAUAUUCGGAAGAACACCAGUGGCGAAGGCGGCUCACUGGUCCGGUACUGACGCUGAGGAGCGAAAGCGUGGGGAGCGAACGGG